UACAGAGGUCUCAAGCGUUGUUCGGAUUCAUUGGGUUUAAAGGGUGCGUAGGCGGGCUUAUAAGUCAGCGGUGAAAUCUCUCGGCUUAACCGAGAAACUGCCGUUGAUACUGUAGGUCUAGAGUACAGAUGAUGUUGGCGGAAUAUGACAUGUAGCGGUGAAAUGCUUAGAUAUGUCAUAGAACACCGAUUGCGAAGGCAGCUGACAAAACUGUAACUGACGCUGAGGCACGAAAGUGCGGGGAUCAAACAGG
rnacentral:rRNA from 1 species